rnacentral:rRNA from 1 species
CCUACGGGGGGCAGCAGUCGAGAAUCAUUCACAAUGGGGGAAACCCUGAUGGUGCGACGCCGCGUGGGGGAAUGAAGGUCUUCGGAUUGUAAACCCCUGUCAUGUGGGAGCAAAUUAAAAAGAUAGUACCACAAGAGGAAGAGACGGCUAACUCUGUGCCAGCAGCCGCGGUAAUACAGAGGUCUCAAGCGUUGUUCGGAAUCACUGGGCGUAAAGCGUGCGUAGGCUGUUUCGUAAGUCGUGUGUGAAAGGCGCGGGCUCAACCCGCGGACGGCACAUGAUACUGCGAGACUAGAGUAGUGGAGGGGGAAGCGGAAUUCUCGGUGUAGCAGUGAAAUGCGUAGAUAUCGGGAGGAACACUCGUGGCGAAGGCGGGUUCCUGGACAUUAACUGACGCUGAGGCACGAAGGCCAGGGGAGCGAAAGGGAUUAGAUACCCGGGUAGUC